GAUGAACGCUGGCGGCGCGCCUAACACAUGCAAGUCGAACGGUUAAAGCACCUUCGGGUGUGUAUAGAGUGGCGAACGGCUGAGUAACACGUGGGCAACCUGCCCUUUGCAUCGGGACAGCCUCGGGAAACCGUGGUUAAUACCGGAUACUCCAUCUUUCUCACAUGAAAAAGAUGGGAAAGUGUUUAGCGGCAAGGGAUGGGCCCGCGCCCUGUUAGCUUGUUGGUGGGGUAAAAGCCUACCAAGGCAAUGAUGGGUAGCCGGGUUGAGAGACCGACCGGCCAGAUUGGGACUGAGACACGGCCCAGACUCCUACGGGAGGCAGCAGUGGGGAAUCUUGCACAAUGGGCGAAAGCCUGAUGCAGCGACGCCGCGUGCGGGAUGAAGGCCUUCGGGUUGUAAACCGCUUUCAGCAGGGUCGAGGCGAAAGGGACGGACCUGCAGAAGAACCCCC
rnacentral:rRNA from 1 species